UCACCGGAGACAUUAUUCCGCA
rnacentral:miRNA from 1 species